UACGUAGGGGGCAAGCGUUGUCCGGAAUCAUGGGGCGUAAAGCGCGUGUAGGCGGUUCGAUAAGUCUGCUGUGAAAGUCCAGGGCUCAACCCUGGAAAGCCGGUGGAUACUGUCGGACUAGAGUGCGGAAGAGGCGAGUGGAAUUCCCGGUGUAGCGGUGAAAUGCGUAGAGAUCGGGAGGAACAUCAGUGGCGAAGGCGACCCUCUGGACCAGCACUGACGCUGAGGCACGAAAGCGUGGGGAGCAAACAGG
rnacentral:rRNA from 1 species